rnacentral:lncRNA from 1 species
ACCCUCUGUACAUCGGCCUGAAACACCAGCGUGUCCGUGGGGAGGAGUAUGAUGACCUGCUGGAUGAAUUCAUGCAGGCGGUGACAGAUAAGUAAGUGGACCAUGCUGUCCCUUUUGGAGAAAGCACCUAAGAAGUGCCAUGGCCAAGUCAAACCCUUUGGCUUUGGAAGAAUUACAAAAGAGGCUGUCAAUGAAUGCUUUGGGGGGAGUCUAAAAAUUUCAACUUGACUCGAGCAUCUGAAAAUCUGGAAGCCAUGUGGGCCCUUCUACGGGGUAACCCUCAGGGAGACACUGAUGUGGAAGUAGCUAAGUUUCUGUUGUUCCAGGAAGGAAAUCCUCUUGGUUUGAGCUGCUCAGAGUAGUUUUCAUGAAUCCAGAUACUGCUCUUCUGAUGAAAAGAUGCUACCUUCCUGAUGAAAUAGCUAUGGAAAGGUCAUCAUGUUUGUCUUCACACACACCCUCACCCCUCUUAGGUCAGUUAGGGGGGUGUUAAUAAGUCAGAAAAGACCUGAUGCUCAAGAUCCAAGCCUUCUAAAUUUAGGAAAGCCCAUGUCUUCACUAGAAAGCAUAGUGCUGGCAGCUCUGCCCUCCACUCCUGCUCAUUCUGACAGCCAUCAUGGCUACCCAGACCUACUGGCAUGUUACAGCAGGGAGUUCCAAUAAUGCUUUCCACACACUGAACAAUCCAAAGCUUCUAAAAUUCAGUGGACAAUGACAUAAAACAUUUCCUUCUCCCUUGAAAAGAGAUAAAAUUGUAUUGUAGUUCAAUGGGAUGGGACAGAUGUUACAGAAAAGAGAGAAUUCAUAAUGGCACACAGGGUGGAAGCAGAAGUUUGAGUAAGCUAGAGUAUCGGGGAUCAAAUGCAUACCUGGGGAAGCUUAGGCUUUAAAAGACAGAGUAUAUCAUGGCAAGAGAGGGAAGGCAGAAUGGGUAGGUGAAGAGAAAUGAUGAAACAGAUGCAUCAGGCUUGAGAUUUUUCUAGACAAGAAGGGAAUUGAGAGUGUAGUCCAAGGAAUGAUCAAAAUGGUAUCCCAAAGGUCUAGGCUGAAGAAGAAAAAUAUGGACAUGGAGAAGCAGAAAGUAGGGAAGAAACGAGGAAAAGUAAAGGGUCAGUAGACCAUAAGUCCUAGAAAGAUUUGAGAAUCUUUGCAUUGGCUACCAGGCAGAAUAAACUGGUUGAAAGGAAGUGAUCCUCUGAAAGCUCUAUGUUUACAGUCAAGAUUAUAGAGGAAAUGUGUCACUGGGCUAUGGCCACCAAAGAAGCUAAUUCACAAAUUGGUACAUUUAUUAGAAGCACAGUAUCUGGAACAGAGGAGGUGACUGCCACUUCACUCUUCCUUUCCAGACUAUCUUAAAUGCCACCUUCAAGACCAGACAAAAGAUGCUAAGGGCCAUAAAUUAUUUAAAGUACCUUUAAAGAACAAUAGUCAUGACAGUUCAGGGAAAGGAAAUGCUUGCUUUGGCUGUGAGCAGGCUCAGAGGCCACUCUCUGUGUAUCAAGGAGCAGAACUGCUUCUGGACACCUGAAAACUAUUCUUCCAGAAGAGAACUGGAUUUACCUCUGUAUGACCAAAAAGGACUAAUGGGUACAAUGCUAACAAAGGCCCUUGUAGGCAUAAAGUGAGUGCCACAAUACACUGAAUUCUGGAUAUGAGUUCUCUGUCACGGAAGGAACUCUAGGAUAUGUUGUUUGGUGUUUUGGUAGUGAUCCUAUGAAUGGGCUAAAGCUGCACAUGCUCUUGAAUGUGUCUCCAUACUCCAUUACUCUAGUUUGACCUCUUAAGAAUACCAUGAAGCUGGCUUGAAACUAAAAAUGAACCCCCAAACAGAGUUACUAAUUUAACAGGCUGGCACAGAGCCUUACCAACCUAAGACAGAAUGGCAUUGCUUUCGAUAAUGCUAACUCCACAACAGGUAAGGAAGGCGCAGUCUUAUUUAUGAAAUAAAAAAGGGGGAGAUGUGGAGAGCCUUUGGGGACCACUGGGCAGGAAUCUGACAUUGGUCAAGGACAAGGAAAUGGGCUUCAGGCAGGAAUCUGACAUUAAGGGCAUGACAAAGAAGUAAAUUCAAGCAGGAAUCUUAAUCUUAGGGUGGAACAAAAGAAGUAGGCUUCAAUCCGGCGCACGCCUUUAAUCCCAGCACUCGGGAGGCAGAGGCAAGCGGAUUUCUGAAUUAGAGGCCAGCCUGGUCUACAAAGUGAGUUCCAGGACAGCCAGGGCUAUACAGAAAAACCCUGUCUCGAAAAAAAAAAAAGUAGGCUUCAAGCCUGAAUAUGACUUUAGGCCGGACAGGGAAGUAGGCUCAGAUGUUUUGAUCAUCCUGAUGGGCCUUUGGAUACAGUGAUCACGGGGAGUGAUCAUGGUAUGUUGUUUAUAGCCUGGCUUGUUCCUUGACUAUUUGUGUUCAUUGUCUUGUUUGUUCCUCAUUGCACUGACUGCCCUUAAUACUUGCACGUAAUUAAAAUGGUAUAAACUCGGAUUGAGAAAAAAUUAAAUCUGCCUCAGCCUCAGAACUGGCUGGGGUCAUGCUAAAAAAGAAAAAAAAGAGAGAGAGUGCCAUGCUGGCUGGCAGGUCUCUAGAUGACAAGGUCACUGUCUCAGUUCAGAGUACCUUGCAGGACUCUGAGGUGAACCCAGUCCAUCCACUCCACAUGCAGGAUGUUUUCUAUAACACUUUGUGACCUGACCAAAGGGAGUGAGAUUGCUUUAGAGAGCCUAUUUUUUGGCUUCCUGUUUCCAGGGUUCAUUGCUAGCUUAUGAGUCAGUAGUCGUUCUAUGAUUUCCUCAAAGAGAAGUCUUGCUAUUCAUGUGAGAAGGUUAAAUAAACUAGGAUGUAAGAGGCUCUUCAAAUCGUCAUCAAAAUCAAUUCACAGCUCCACAAACACACAGGCAGUCCAGGGUGAACCCUUAGGGAAGGGUGUGCAUCAGCCAACAGGAAUGUGUCCUUCAGCAGAAGAGAUGAUGGCUUGACAGGUCAUUGUUUUGACUUUCUAGCAAGCUAGAACAGAUGUUUCUGUAGAUAUUGUAGUUGGAAAAUGAGCUGGUCUCCCCCAGGUACUCCUGGGAAUGUAUUAGUCUGGAGACAGAUUGCCUGGUCUAAGGGUGAGUCAGGAGUCCUGAAGCCAAACACACUGCAUUUUAAGAAAGAACCAUGAGAAACUGUGACUCCUGCCUUCAAUGUCCACAUCCCUGCCCAAACAUCCUGACAAUAAAGGGCUUCCUCUUUCACCUUUCCCUUACAAACUGACCUGUCUAUAGAUUCUGAGCGGGAAGUAUUGAUAAGGCGCAGACCCUAUCCUGAAGGUUGGCCACUGAGGAAGACCCACCAAGGCAAAGCAAUAUCCAGUUAAGUCUGUGAACUACAGUGGCUGGGAAGAAGCUAGGUUAGUAGAGUGAUUUGCCUCCAUGCUCUGUGGCCCUGGGUUCAAUCCCACACAACCGUAAUACCAACAUUUAAGCAGGAUGAUCAGAAGGUCAAGGUAUAUGAGUUCUAUAUAGUGAGUUCUAGGCCAGCAUGGGUUACAAGAAACUCUGUCUC